CCUACGGGCGGCUGCAGUGGGGAAUUUUGGACAAUGGGCGCAAGCCUGAUCCAGCAAUGCCGCGUGCAGGAUGAAGGCCUUCGGGUUGUAAACUGCUUUUGUACGGAACGAAACGGCUCUUUCUAAUAAAGAGGGCUAAUGACGGUACCGUAAGAAUAAGCACCGGCUAACUACGUGCCAGCAGCCGCGGUAAUACGUAGGGUGCGAGCGUUAAUCGGAAUUACUGGGCGUAAAGCGUGCGCAGGCGGUUAUAUAAGACAGAUGUGAAAUCCCCGGGCUCAACCUGGGACCUGCAUUUGUGACUGUAUAGCUAGAGUACGGUAGAGGGGGAUGGAAUUCCGCGUGUAGCAGUGAAAUGCGUAGAUAUGCGGAGGAACACCGAUGGCGAAGGCAAUCCCCUGGACCUGUACUGACGCUCAUGCACGAAAGCGUGGGGAGCAAACAGGAUUAGAUACCCCUGUAGUC
rnacentral:rRNA from 1 species